rnacentral:rRNA from 1 species
UACGAAGGUCCCGAGCGUUGUUCGGAAUCACUGGGCGUAAAGGGAGCGUAGGCGGCGCGGUAAGUCAGAUGUGAAAUCCCCGGGGCUCAACCCCGGAACUGCAUCCGAUACUGCCGUGCUAGAGGAUUGGAGAGGUAGCUGGAAUUCUUGGUGUAGCAGUGAAAUGCGUGGAUAUCAAGAGGAACACUCGUGGCGAAAGCGAGCUACGUGGACAACUCCUGACGCUGAGGCUCGAAGGCUAGGGUAGCGAAAGGG